GGAAUUGACGGGGAGCACUACAACGGGUGGAGCCUGCGGUUUAAUUGGACUCAACGCCGGAAAACUCACCGGGGGCGACAGCAAUAUGUAGGUCAAGCUAAAGACUUUACCAGAAUCGCUGAGAGGAGGUGCAUGGCCGUCGUCAGUUCGUACUGUGAAGCAUCCUGUUAAGUCAGGCAACGAGCGAGACCCGUGCCCACUGUUGCCAGCAUGUCCUUCGGGACGAUGGGUACUCUGUGGGGACCGCCGAUGCUAAAUCGGAGGAAGGUGCGGGCUACGGUAGGUCAGUAUGCCCCGAAUAUCCCGGGCUACACGCGAGCUACAAUGGUUGGUACAAUGGGUAUCUACCCCGAAAGGGGACGGGAAUCUCCUAAAACCAAUCUUAGUUCGGAUUGAGGGCUGCAACUCGCCCUCAUGAAGCUGGAAUCCGUAGUAAUCGCGUUUCAAAUAGCGCGGUGAAUAUGUCCCUGCUCCUU
rnacentral:rRNA from 1 species